GAGAUCUCUCCUUAGGAGUUAUGCAGCAAGCCCAGGAUGUGGGGCGAAUUUAAAAAGUGUGGGAAGGAAAACAUGAAAAUAUACUGCCUUUUGAAGCAAGUUAGUAGUAAAAAUGAAGUAGCAAAAUAUUUCCCUUUUCCCUGCUGGCUUGUAACUAAUGAACAAAUGACUAGUUAAUAUCAUUAACUAGGGAAAAAAUAGCCUCAGUUCUUCUUAGAAUAUAAAAUGGUUGAAUUGGGAAUUGUGGACAGACCAGCCAUCACUACUUUACCUAAAAGUUGUUGUGGUGAAGCUUGGAACCCUGUCACAUUGGUGUGUGUACAAACAUGCAGUCUCCCAUCCCGAGAAGGAUCAAAAUAACUCUGCGACUGCGAAAGGAGAGACAGUUCUUCCCCUUAAUUUACAUACAUGAAACCGAGAACAAGGUCAGAAAGAAAUAGAAUAAUGAAAGUGUCAUGGACUGACAAUGCAUCAGAUUAUGUAACUGUAAAAUUUUACAUGCUUCACAGUGAAGGAAUUUACUAAUUUUUAAUUUAAAAUGAUUGAGAAAUGUGAGAGAAAUAGUUCAGAGUGAAAAUGGUGGUUCAUAUGCUUUCAUGUUUCUUUACAUCUCCAAACUGUUUGAUGCCUCUGUGUUACGAAGCAGAAGACUCCUUGGCUGCCAGUGAGAUCCUAAGAUUGUUCAGCACUGUCUUGUCCAUCAGUUUGUCAAAAACCUUUUGUAACAGUUAAAUAAAUAAAUGAAUAAAAUAACGUAAAUUAGGAGUAAAAAUUAUAAGGAAAUAUUUUGCAUAACGCAUAGAUUCACCAAUAGGACAUAAAGUUACUGCAGUUAUUUUCAUAAAGCUGUUAAAAGCACAGUACCUAUUUUAUUUAAGAGCAUGGAUUUGAAGUAAGAAAAUCAUGAAUGGAAGCCUGUUAGCCCUGACACUCUGUGUCCCUGAGAGAAGGCAGUGCGACCAACCCUGGUAUGACAUCACCUGAGUACCAGAUGCAAGACCACAGCAGAUGGGGUAGGAAAUUGUGGGAAAUAAUGUCAAAUCUGUUGAUCUGCUAAUGUGUACAUACUUAAAUAUAUGUAACAACUCUUUGCCUUUCUGUCAGACAAUUUAAAUGUGAUUGUCCCUAUCUCCUACACUUUCGCUCUAAAAAACAAUGUGUUCUGGAAUGCUUUGUCUGCUUAAGUUUAAAUCACUACUGGCUCUUUCAUGGGAAGUCUUAUCUGAUCCUCAGCUUAGUUUUCUUCUCUCAGCUGGUCAUAAAACUACCCAUCAAGCUCA